rnacentral:lncRNA from 1 species
AAGUUUACGAAGACAAAAGAGGAAUGACGACUCAGCAUAUUGUAAUUAUCCAGUUGAUAUUUAUCUUGUUCCAGUCACCUUUAGAAAGCUGUUUGGUGAGUACAAUGUUAAUAUAGAGACAAUCAGAAUGGUGUGUGCUUUUGUACAAAACUUGUGGAUCCAUCAAUGAGGCAUCUGCCAUUUUUUCUUUCUUCCCCUCUAUAUUACAAGUUCUGGAAUGCCUGUUCUAAUUCUCCAAGGAGAAUUAGAAAAUAAAAGGCAGAGUCUAGAGCCAUGUCAAUAUCCUCCCACAGAAUGUGUAUGGAGAAUAUUCCACUGGGAACCAUGAUAGAUAAAAACUUACCAGGAAGAGCAAAACAUCAAGAGAGUCUGACAAAAGCUCUGCCCUCCUCUGUAACCCAGCAGCCUCUGCAGAAUCAUCCUUUCUUCAUUGUUUUAAAAUGUUGUUAAAUACCUUGUCAGUUGCUUUAAAGGGACCCAGACCCAUUCUGAUAUUUUUACAAAAUAAAUCCAGUCUUUGGGUAAAGGUAUAGUAAUACUAUCCAUGGAUCUGAUGUUGAGUCGUGGAGGCUUCAAGCUCUGAAGAAGUAUGAACUAAUUCUAAACAGUGAUUAAGCAAUUAUUAUUUUCAUUUUACUAAUGACAUGACUUCUAGAGUUGGAGUGUCAGAAUAUUCUCUUGGAAGAAAAGGAUGCAAGUGUAGACACCUCAUCACUAGGUCCAAUCCACCUCACAGUGCUACUUUCAGUUUUGUAAAAAUUGGUCACGGCAACAAGUUUGAAAUAAUAGGUUCACUCUCAAACUGGCAACAAGCACGUGAUUGAGCUGCAUGAAUCUGGAAAGGCUUGUCAAACAAAACAGGCUGGUUCACAGCUGAAAGAAAAAAAAUACUUCUGGCAUUGUACUAAAUUCAGAAACCGUAUCCGACAAGGGGCUGAGCUGAGGUUGUGGUAUGGCCCCAGUCCUAGGAUUGGUCCCACCUACUUUGCCUAGUUCCUGACCACAUCUGGUAAUUCAGUGGUGAUGUGAUUAUGACAUUAACAGUGAUAGGUUUCCCCUGCUUAGCUGCUUAUUUGAUUGUGGAUAAUGUGUGAAUGGGGGCAGGAGAGGCAGUGGUUGGGCGCUGAUGUGUUAAUGAAUCCCAUGUCUCAAUAAUUAACACAUCUUCUGGAUAGCUUUGCAAAAAUGCAAUCUUUGCUUCAGAUUUCACAUUUAAGAGCAUCUCCCUUUGCUUUGUGUUUAAAGUUUAAACAUUCAGUCCAAAUUUUAAAGGUGAUAAGCAAAUUUAGUGUAUUUUGAAGGAAGGAAAACUUUUUUCCUUUUCACUUUUCUCUCACCAUGUACAGUUGUUUCUGAAGAAUGUGUCUAGGGAUUGAGUCAGAACUAUCAGGCUGGGCAAAGUGGCUCAUGCCUGUAAUACCAGCACUUUGGGAAGCCAGGGCAGGCGGAUCACCUGAGGUCAGGAGUUCGAGACCAACCUGGAAAGAGCUCCUAGAAGAGUCACUGGUAGAACCAACUGCUCACAGCUUCUUUGGGUGCUAGACUCAUUUAACAACCAGUUGUUGGAAAAAUUUUCAAUCCUUUUUGAUAAGAAAGGUUCUCAUAAAAAAAAAAACAACUAAAUCUAUGCAGAAUUUGUGAGAACAACCUGAGAAUAUCAAGAAUAUUUUAAGUCUCAUACAUAUAUUUAUCAUAGACUUAUCUGUCUCAAAUAAGAUCUGGAGUGUCAAAUUUCUCACAGGAUUACCGAUGGCAGUAAAAACCUUGUUCUCCUUAGAGUUUUGGACUGAAACUUCAAAGACAAUAUUUUCUUCUAAAUUUAACAAUAACAGUUGUAGUUAAAAAUAACUUUCCAUUAUAAUAUGAUGUUAUCCUUUGCUUAGAUUCAAUGCUACAAAAGUUCUGUUGAUGAAAUAGAAAUAAAACAAAGUCUUUCCACCAUUUCCAAGGGCAAGUGUCCUAGACGGGCUCCAGUAUGUAAUGCAGUGGCUGGUUAAGUAGUUUCCAAUAACUUGGUAUUGACAUUACUGCCCCUUCUGCAAUCUCACUCCUUACUCUUGAUAAGAGAGCUCUGAGAAAUCUCAGGUACCAACUGUUUGAAAGGGCUAGUUUGCCUGUUAGCAGGAUCUUGGAGGGAAAAUGCUAGGGACAAGAUGAUCAGUGUAUAUGAAAAUUGGAAGUUAGUUCAGUUAAGAACAUCUAAGCUAAAAUACGAACGGCAGAGGACCCAUGUGGUCAAAGAUGUCCCGGUAUGUGUGGUGGGACUGGGUGGGCCUCCUACUCCUCUGCUCCCAGCACACCAAAACACGUGUUUAGAAAAUGCCGAUUCGUGAACCCGGGAGGUGGAGCUUGCAGUGAGCCGAGAUC